CCUACGUGUGGCUGCAGUGGGGAAUAUUGGACAAUGGGCGAAAGCCUGAUCCAGCCAUGCCGCGUGUGUGAAGAAGGCCUUCGGGUUGUAAAGCACUUUCAGUGGGGAAGAAAGCCUUGGGGCUAAUACCCUCGAGGAAGGACAUCACCCACAGAAGAAGCACCGGCUAACUCCGUGCCAGCAGCCGCGGUAAUACGGAGGGUGCGAGCGUUAAUCGGAAUUACUGGGCGUAAAGCGCGCGUAGGCGGUCUGAUAAGCCGGUUGUGAAAGCCCCGGGCUCAACCUGGGAACGGCAUCCGGAACUGUCAGGCUAGAGUGCAGGAGAGGAAGGUAGAAUUCCCGGUGUAGCGGUGAAAUGCGUAGAGAUCGGGAGGAAUACCAGUGGCGAAGGCGGCCUUCUGGACUGACACUGACGCUGAGGUGCGAAAGCGUGGGUAGCAAACAGGAUUAGAUACCCCUGUGUC
rnacentral:rRNA from 1 species